GUAAAUUUGAAGUAAUCUUACAUAAUUAAUGGAAAAAUCCUGUGACUUUUGGACAGCAGGUGGGUUUAUGAAGAGAAUCUCAUAACACCACCAGAAGCCGGUUGAGAGAUUACAAGUGCCAUAAUCUGCUCUAACAGUCCUUCUUUAACUCCUGUGUGCUGAAAUUCUAACCAGGGAACGAGAUGGAGCUUGGAGGAUUCGUUCUUGAGAAGUCAUCCAUCCCACCCACAAAACUCUGCAAGGACACGGCUCUGGAUCACCCUGAGGAAAAUACUGUAAGCAGAAUCCAAAAAUAUUCCAGUUAAAAGGAAAAAAAAAUCAACAAAGGUUCUUUGCCAUUUAAUCUAAGGAUAACUACAAUCAACAUGAGUUUUAGAAGAAAGAAAUAAUUAUUCUCCAUGACAAUAAAACACUGACAUCAUCUCACAAAAAUGAGCAGCUGAGCAAAACAACAGGGAAAGGAGAAGAAAAUUAAACCUCAGGCUUCUGAACUUAGUGGGAAAAUAAAAGUGAGAUUGAUCCAGUCUUUUCUGCUCCUGCCUACUGUCACCAGAACAGCUAUUGAUCAGCUCCGCAGUUAUGGCUCUGCAUAAACCAGUGUAGGGUAAGGAAAGGCGACGCCAGCAAGUUACCAUCAGUGUUCGUUAGGGCUGAUUUAUUUAUUUAUGGUCACAUACCAGAGCUCCUGCCCUUUGAUGUAGACCAGAGCUGCUUCUAUAAGCAAAUGCUUAAAGGCAGACAGAACUAGUAAAUACCCAGCCUGAGCUACGUGAAGGCUGAAGGCAGGCAGCAGACUGCGAAAGAAGCCGCUGGACUUCACCUCGUGCACUAAUUCGGUACCGCAGCGCAGGCUCCUGUCUGCUGCAUUUCUACAGCUGAGAACAGGAGGUUUUCAGCAGAAGGAGAAAAUGUUUUGAAAGAUAUCCAUAAUCUAGAUAAUAAAAGUAAGUAAAUAAAUAAAUAAAUCAUUUUGUUUGCCUCCAUAUUUCCAUUACAGAGAAGAUAAUGAAAGAGCCCUGACUAAAUUC
rnacentral:lncRNA from 1 species